rnacentral:tRNA from 1 species
AGAAACUUAGGUUAACCCCUAAACCAAGGGCCUUCAAAGCCCUAAACAGAGGACCACCCCCCUCUAGUUUCUG